ensembl:misc_RNA
AUGAAUGCCCCCGAAGACUGAAAUCCUUUGUUUAUCCACAGAACAGGAACAGCAUGGGCACUGAGCAUUAGCAAUAGAAACUUCCUCGUGCUGCUCCCUCCUACUGUUCUUCUGGCUUCUGAGGGACCACCUCUAGGAUGAAGAGAGGCGUUCAGUCUCCAUGGUCCCUUCUCUCAUUCACUCCU